CAAGCACACAUGCUGCAUUUUUCCUUACCUCAUACUGCCUUUACACAUGAAAGUUAUCGGAUAGUCAUUGGAGGGAAUACAUAGAAAUACACUGUUCUCUUCUAGGAUUUUUAAAAAUUAAACUUCAGAAGAAAGGGGUUAUAUAAACCUCAAUUCAAUGGAAUUCUUAAAAACUUUAAUUUUUACGUUGAACAAAAGGUUUGUGUAAUAUUUCUUACCACCUUUUUCCUUCAAGUUGUCAGCACAUAGUAGGUGUGUUUUCUUUUUUUGCCACUGGUCUUUUGUUUUUUUGUUUUUUUGUUUUUUUUUUUUUUUUGGUCAUUAAAUCAUUUUGCUCUGUUGAUUUUUGUUCAUUUUGCUUGGCUGCUUUUGUGGGUACUACAGAUUAAUUAAAAGGUUAUUUAUUAACCCAGUGUCUAUUGCUGUAAUCCUUAGCAUGACAAGGCCCUAACUGUUGCUGCAUAGUUUUAUGACAUGAGUUAUUGCCCUGAUCACUUUUAGUUUUUUGUUUUUUUAAUUGCCCUCCUUGUAAAUCUUAUAGACGUUGUGUCAUGUAGUGGGGUGUAAUCGGUAUAUGAACUACCGGUAGGGUAGAUGGUAUUAGAUUCUAAUUUAAAUAAAUGAAUGCCUUAUGUGGUUGACCUUAGGACUCUGCAAAAACUUAAGCAGUUCAGAUGAACAACAUGCCAACUCAAAAACUUGUAUUGCUUGGGGCUUCCUGUUUUCUGGAACUAUGUAUACUUUCAUAUACAUUUUAACUCAGCAGUUUUGACAAGGACAUUACUAUCUCUGUGUAUAAUUUCAGAAUUUCCUUUUAAUAUUUGAGGUAGAGAAGAAAGAGUAUUAUUAUAUUCUGUGCUACAAAUGGUGAUUGUACAAAAGGAAGCUGAUACUUGUUUCUGGCCAGUACAUGAGGACACUUUAAGGCCCUAAAUCUUAACUAAAAUGGGCAGUCUUGAUUGAGGAUUUAUUUUAAAUAUGGAAGCUUUUUCUUUAGUGAGAUGUAGACUUUUUUUUGGAUAUAAAUGCCAGCACCUAGACCAAAGUUUUGUUUUGUUUUGUUUUUUUAAGAUAGGGUCUCUGUUGCCUAGGCUGGAUCUUACUGCAGCCUUGACCUCCCAGCCUCAAGCCGUCCACCCACCUCAGCCUCCCAAGUAGCUGGGACUGAAGGCUCACGCCACCAUGCCCAGCUAAGUUUGUUUAUUUUUUGUAGAGGCGAGGUCUCACUAUAUUGCCCAGGGUGGUCUCUAACUCCUAAACUCAAGCAGUCCUCCCACCUCAGCCUCCCAAAGUGUAAACCAAACUUUUUAUUGCAUGGCUUAAUUGUACCCAUUGACCAUGAGGAAGAAGAGUCCAGCACCAGGAAUGGUUGUAACACCUCCUACAGGAAAGGUACUCUAGUUAGGAGCUGCAGACUUUCGUGGUUUUGGUCAUGCUCCACGCCGAAGUCCCGAAGGGAAAGGCAUGGAUCCUGCCUGGUCUGGCAGAGGCAGGAGCUAGGGAUAGAAUGCAUCUUGCUUUGCAGCAUACCUGUGAAACCAGGUUUUUUCUGACACCUGGUUAGUGAAAUACUGAAGGGGAGGAGAGACUCUAGGGUUUACCUCCAAUAUUGCUGAGCAGGAAAAAGGCCUUUUGCUUGUGGUAGGUAAGUAAGAGGAAUGGAGCUGAGUAACUUGAUAACGAGGCAGGAAUCUGCUUUAUGAUGUGAAAACAUUACCUUUUAAAUGUUUGUUUGGAGCAAUAUCGAAGUUUACUUUUAAAUAAUUUACAAAAAAAGGAUAACCUGUGUUAAGCAACUAUAAUUUAUAGUUUAUCUUUAUUACUCAUGUGCUCAAGUAAUUAAGCUUGUGCUUCACAUGAUGUUAGUGCUUGGGACCAAAAGAAAGUGAUUAAAUUAAUUACUACCCAAAUUACAGGUUUUAGUGCUAGAACUAGUACCUGGAUCAUUUUCUAAUUAUUUUAAAAUGCUAUGUCAUUUGCCUUUUACCUUUUUUUCUGGGAUGUUUUAUUCCUGCUUGAGGGUAUUUUGGGGUAAGUUUGUUUACAAACUUGUUAAGACGACCUGCUGGCAAAAUCAGUACAGACUUGGCAAAAACAGACUUGUCUCCUAUUCACAGCAUUCAAGAGGGGGCAGAAGGAACCCUGUUUUCUGUAGCAUGACAUGCCAUUUCUGUUAGGUGUGGUUUUAGAGCAAAUGAGACAGUUACUUUACCAAAAGCUAGGUACAUUCAGAGAACUUAGGCUUUAAAUACCAGUUUGUUGCUACUCUUGCGGAAGGGGGAAUAUUUAAAGGGAUUCAAUAUCCUGAUGGUUUAAAGUAAGUGGUUUACAAAUUGUUCUGAUAAUGAGUGUCUAGGCAGAUCUCUGAGGGGACCUGAAAUCUGAUGCAGCUCUCCUUUGUUCUAGGUUAUACUACUCCAACUGCCCCCCAGGCAUACAGCCAGCCUGUCCAGGGGUAUGGCACUGGUGCUUAUGAUACCACCACUGCUACAGUCACCACCACCCAGGCCUCCUAUGCAGCUCAGUCUGCAUAUGGCACUCAGCCUGCUUAUCCAGCCUAUGGGCAGCAGCCAGCAGCCACUGCACCUACAAGACCGCAGGAUGGAAACAAGCCCACUGAGACUAGUCAACCUCAAUCUAGCACAGGGGGUUACAACCAGCCCAGCCUAGGAUAUGGACAGAGUAACUACAGUUAUCCCCAGGUACCUGGGAGCUACCCCAUGCAGCCAGUCACCGCACCUCCAUCCUACCCUCCUACCAGCUAUUCCUCUACACAGCCGACUAGUUAUGAUCAGAGCAGUUACUCUCAGCAGAACACCUAUGGGCAGCCGAGCAGCUAUGGACAGCAGAGUAGCUAUGGUCAACAAAGCAGCUAUGGGCAGCAGCCUCCCACUAGUUACCCACCCCAAACUGGAUCCUACAGCCAAGCUCCAAGUCAAUAUAGCCAACAGAGCAGCAGCUACGGGCAGCAGAGUUCAUUCCGACAGGACCACCCCAGUAGCAUGGGUGUUUAUGGGCAGGAGUCUGGAGGAUUUUCCGGACCAGGAGAGAACCGGAGCAUGAGUGGCCCUGAUAACCGGGGCAGGGGAAGAGGGGGAUUUGAUCGUGGAGGCAUGAGCAGAGGUGGGCGGGGAGGAGGACGCGGUGGAAUGGGGUAAGAGCAAACCUUUUCUCCUUUUACCUAAUUUUGUUUCAUCCAUAGGAUUUUCAAUGGAAAGAAGGGACUGAAAGACAUAAGAAAUUAAUUUCUGCAUUUCCAUGGACAAUCUGUUGAGCUCAAGCCAUCUUCUAAAACAUGGAAAUGUCAUCUUUGUGGCAUAUAUUAAGUGGCAGUUUAUUUUCUUUCCCUGCCAGUAUACUUUGUUGGGUCGGGGAGAACAAAGAAUGGUUUUGAAACCAGAGCUUUCAGUUCCCUUCAUGGUUUCCAGAGGUGAGAAGCCUCUGUGGGUAGUAGAUUUGGGAUGGAACACACACAACCCUUCUAAUGACCCUAAGUUGUUAACUAACUGCCUUUGAAUGGUUGUCUUGAAAUACCUGGUGUAUAUACUGCAGAAAAGGAAUGCAGCUGUUUUCCACAGUGUUUGUCCCCAACUUCUGUUUGUACUCAGAAUCGUUGAACAUAUGAAGAUUUUGGUCCCAUAAUCCUUAAACUAUAGCCUGAGGUGCACCUGAUUACAUAGAGUUUGGAUGGAGCAAAGAAAAAUCCAAUAGCAUUUUGCAGAGUAAUGUAUAUAAUUAUGGGCUCACUUCCUACUGGAGAUGUUGAAAGUCUAAAUCGGUUUGACCAUUUUGAUUGAUGGCACAAUCUGGUUUAGAAAACUUUGUUUAGAUCAAUGACAUAACCCUGCUGCUUCUGCCUGCCCUUCCCCUCCCUUCUCCCAUCCCCUUUUCCCUAUCUGGUGUCUGUACUUUGAUGAAGGUGAGCUAUAAUAUUGGUGGUUAACAUAAUCCAGAAGGCUUAGUUCUGUGUGUGUUCUGUCCCUAUAUAAACUGGUAAAGAAAAAAAAAAGUUAUGCAGAAUGUUAGAUAUUUACAUUUGAUACGGUGUGCCACUAUUCAAGGAAAAAUUAAAUAGCAUUUUUAAAAAAAUAGAAUGAACUUCAAAAUUAAAGUUGAUCUUUAACUUCCAUAUUAGCAAAUACUCUUCACUACUGAAGGACAGUACUAUUUUGCAUAUUCUGCAUAACUUUAAGAAAGUCUUUAGUGAAAUCUUUAUUGGAAGAAAGUCGUUUGACAACAGGCAAAAAUUUAAUGAUUCGGUAUGAAGUAAAAUCAAUCUUCUGAUUUGGAAAAUACUCUAUUAUAAAGGUUUCACUUCUUUUUGGAUGUUUUAAAAUAGACAUAGACACUUGAAAGUACUAUCAUCACGUCUCAAAUCACCUAGAAUUCCUAGUAUUUUUAAAUUGCAAAUACAAUUUCAAGUUUAUUUAAAUACUCCAGAAGUUAUAAUCCUACUAAUUGUGCUAGACUUUGCUAGUAGAGGGGGCCCCUCUUUAUGGAUGAGAAGUCUCUCUUGCAGCCAUAGAAGAGACCAUGGCUUUCCCCAUAGGUUUUUCAACAGACUGUGAAGCAGUCUGUCGGAUCCUGUGGGGAUAGACGGGCAUUUCCCUCGUUCCCCCCCUUUUUAUUGUGGUGUGGUGAUGGUUUUCAGUGUCUUCUACAGGUAAGGCACUCAAUGUUGUUAACAUGCCCUUUUUCAUUGCCUCAGUAUUUUGAUAUUUUCAUUGGCUGUUAAACGUGGAAACUUUUUAACAUGCUUUGUCGCAUUUAUAUGCUACAGGUUACAAAGUGAGAGCCUUGUAUACACUUCAAUACUUAAAAAGUACCCGUACUCAGUACUCAGCCGGCAGCAUAAUGAAAAGUGGGACUAGACACGGUGUCCAUAUGGAGAGGAAAAAUAUACAUAGAAUAUUUUUAACAAAAUGUAUUCAUUGUAUAAAUGGAAUCCUUCUGUAACUUUGGUAACUGCAUACUUGUUGUUUGGUAAUGAACCAGAGGAGGUAUAAUACUCUAGAAUUGUGUAACAUUAAAGUGUAAACUUUUGUGUUUAAAGAGAGAGAACAUUUUAUGGUGUGUACUUUUAAAAAGGAAACAAAGCUGCAUGCAACAGCUUGAAAUUGUAUAUUCAGGUAUUAAAGGUGCAAUACUGGUUAGAAAAAACUCAGGGCCUCCCACUGGGGAGCUGCCUUUAUUUAAUUUUAAAGAAAACAAAAUCUAACCCAAAAAGUCCAAUUCAUAUUUCCCUCUCCCCUCUUUAAGUAAUUUUACAUGGCCAUAGUCAUUAUUCUAACUGAUAUGUCUAUAAAGUUGCACCCCCAGUCCGUUGAGCCUUGGUAUUUGUUGUAAAUUCUCCUUUCACAGCGAUUGUUAAAUCUAUUCGUGCCCUGAGAUGUAUGGCUUUAUGCUGAAGAUUGGCUGGAUGCGUCCUCUGAUGUGUGUUGUAGGAAUUUAAUGUGGUUGUCUCCUGCUUUUAUUAUACUGUGACUUGUUAGGAAACCCUGGGCCUCAUUUGGCUCUCCCUUGGGAGAGGUUGAGGGUGCACCUUUAUGAACAUGGAAAGGUUUAUCACAGCAGUUAACCCCCACUUGCUCCUCCCCUCUAUACCAAGCUCUUCUGGUUUUUCACCUGACGGGGUGGGUGUUUGGGAUCUAUUUUUUCUUGCUAAUUUGCCAAGUAUUGCACUAUUAAUACCAGCCCCCGAAAUGAAAGGAACCAACCACACUGGUGUGUACAAUCAGACAAGCAAGGUUGUAUAUUGAGGAAAUUUGAGCAAGCUGCCCUGAAGAAAGGCAUAGUGACAAGAUGAGAGAGAUGCAUUGUUUGGAGAUGUGUUUAGCCAGUGCCCUUCUUCCCCACGAGCCCCCCCAAGGCUCAGAGCGGUACUGGCUUUUAAAGGGAAAGGCCUUCAUUUCUUCGUUUAUCCCCCCAGCAGCGCUGGAGAGCGAGGUGGCUUCAAUAAGCCUGGUGGACCCAUGGAUGAAGGACCAGAUCUUGAUCUAGGCCCACCUGUAGAUCCAGAUGAAGAUUCUGACAACAGUGCAAUUUAUGUACAAGGAUUAAAUGACAGUGUGACUCUAGAUGAUCUGGCAGACUUCUUUAAGCAGUGUGGGGUUGUUAAGAUGAACAAGAGAACUGGGCAACCCAUGAUCCACAUCUACCUGGACAAGGAAACAGGAAAGCCCAAAGGCGAUGCUACAGUGUCCUAUGAAGACCCACCCACUGCCAAGGCUGCCGUGGAAUGGUUUGAUGGGAAAGAUUUUCAAGGGAGCAAACUUAAAGUCUCCCUUGCUCGGAAGAAGCCUCCAAUGAACAGUAUGCGGGGUGGUAUGCCACCCCGUGAGGGCAGAGGGAUGCCACCACCACUCCGCGGAGGUCCAGGAGGCCCAGGAGGUCCUGGGGGACCCAUGGGUCGCAUGGGAGGCCGUGGAGGAGAUAGAGGAGGCUUCCCUCCAAGAGGACCCCGGGGUUCCCGAGGGAACCCCUCUGGAGGAGGAAACGUCCAGCACCGAGCUGGAGACUGGCAGUGUCCCAAUCCGGGUUGUGGAAACCAGAACUUCGCCUGGAGAACAGAGUGCAACCAGUGUAAGGCCCCAAAGCCUGAAGGCUUCCUCCCGCCACCCUUCCCGCCCCCGGGUGGUGAUCGUGGCAGAGGUGGCCCUGGUGGCAUGCGGGGAGGAAGAGGUGGCCUCAUGGAUCGUGGUGGUCCCGGUGGAAUGUUCAGAGGUGGCCGUGGUGGAGACAGAGGUGGCUUCCGUGGUGGCCGGGGCAUGGACCGAGGUGGCUUUGGUGGAGGAAGACGAGGUGGCCCUGGGGGGCCCCCUGGACCUUUGAUGGAACAGAUGGGAGGAAGAAGAGGAGGACGUGGAGGACCUGGAAAAAUGGAUAAAGGCGAGCACCGUCAGGAGCGCAGAGAUCGGCCCUACUAGAUGCAGAGACCCCGCAGAGCUGCAUUGACUACCAGAUUUAUUUUUUAAACCAGAAAAUGUUUUAAAUUUAUAAUUCCAUAUUUAUAAUGUUGGCCACAACAUUAUGAUUAUUCCUUGUCUGUACUUUAGUAUUUUUCAACAUUUGUGAAGAAACAUUAAAACAAGUUAAAUGGUAGUGUGCGGAGUUUUUUUUUCCUUCUUUUAAAAAUGGUUGUUUAACUAAGACUUUAACAAUGGGAACCCCUUGUGAGCAUGCUCAGUAUCAUUGUGGAGAACCAAGAGGGCCUCUUAACUGUAACAAUGUUCAUGGUUGUGAUGUUUUUUUUUUUUUUAAAUAAAAUUCCAAAUGUUUAUAAACAGUCA
rnacentral:sRNA from 1 species